CGGGGGGAGCAAGCGUUGUUCGGAUUUACUGGGCGUAAAGGGCGCGUAGGCGGCCACCGCAAGUCAGUUGUGAAAUCUCUGGGCUUAACCCAGAAAGGUCAAACUGAUACUGCGGGGCUAGAGUGCAGAAGGGGCAACUGGAAUUCUCGGUGGUAGCGGUGAAAUGCGUAGAUAUCGAGAGGAACACCUGCGGCGAAGGCGGGUUGCCGGGCUGACACUGACGCUGAGGCGCGAAAGCUAGGGGAGCGAACGGGAUUAGAUACCCCGGUAGUCCUAGCCUUAAACGAUGAAUGCUUGGUGUCUGGGGUUUUAUAGUCCCCGGGUGCCGUCGCUAACGCUUUAAGCAUUCCGCCUGGGGAGUACGGUCGCAAGACUG
rnacentral:rRNA from 1 species